UGUAUUGAAACAUUCCUGCAAACAAGUCCUUGUAAGUUCUAACAUAAUAUAAAUGCUACAUGUUCGGCCUCUGAAGGUGAAACAACUCUUUGUUUCCUAAAAAAUCCCAAAUCACGAAUAAAAAAUGCAUUUCUGAUUGGUAGGUUGUGAUUUCCAUCUAUUUCAAGGAAAUGUAUACCGGAAAACCAUGUAAAUGACAAGAAAUGUCUGGGAGUAUAUGUAGACAUGAAUAGUCACAGCUAGGCUACAUUUCUUCUUUAGCAUUUAGAUUGUGAUCUGAUAUGUUCUGAAGAUAUCAAUACUUUGACAAUUUGGUGGAAGACAAAACCAUGUUACUUCAGAUGCUAUUGUCUUCUGUGGGUGCCCAUGAAAUAACUCUUCACUAUCAGCUGGAUUUUCUGAGUUUCCAUUUGGCCUAUAUAAACACAUCCAAAGAGGUCUCUACCACCACAGCUCUCAACAAAACUUGAACGUAUUCUAAGCUUUUUCUGAUUUUGAGGUUUUACUAAAAAAAAAUCAUGGCUAUUCGCAUGCCUCGUAUAAUCAAGAAAUCUGUUACAUCUGGAGAUGUUCCCAAAGGCCAUUUUGUUGUAUAUGUUGGGGAGAAUCAAAAGAAGAGGUAUGUGAUCCCGAUAUCAUUCUUGAGCCAACCUUUAUUUCAAGACUUGCUCGGUCAAGCUGAGGACGAAUUUGGCUUUGAUCAUCCAAUGGGUGGUCUCACAAUUCCCUGCAGAGAGGACAUCUUCAUCGACCUCACUUCUCGAUUAAGGAACUGAAAAAGAAAACUUUCUUAACAGUCUGUAGAGUAGUAAAGAAGGAUACACAAAUCUGUAUAGAGAAUACAACUUUUGAUGUUAGAUUAGGUAGAUUUAGUGAAACUUUUGAUGUUAGACUAGGUAGAUUUAGUGAAACUUUAGCUCCACAAAGACUGAUUGUUAGUCCAUGUCAAAGGACAAAUGACUUGC
rnacentral:lncRNA from 1 species